rnacentral:rRNA from 1 species
UACGGGGGGGGCAAGCGUUGUUCGGAAUUACUGGGCGUAAAGGGCUCGUAGGCGGCCAACUAAGUCAGACGUGAAAUCCCUCGGCUUAACCGGGGAACUGCGUCUGAUACUGGAUGGCUUGAGAUUGGGAGAGGGAUGCGGAAUUCCUGGUGUAGCGGUGAAAUGCGCAGAUAUCAGGAGGAACACCGGUGGCGAAGGCGGAUCUCUGGGCCGAUACUGACGCUGAGGAGCGAAAGCGUGGGGAGCGAACAGG